rnacentral:rRNA from 1 species
AUUGAACGCUGGCGGAAUGCUUUACACAUGCAAGUCGAACGGUAGAGGGGGCAACCCCUCGAGAGUGGCGAACGGGUGAGUAAUAUAUCGGAACGUGCCCAGUCGUGGGGGAUAACGUAGCGAAAGUUACGCUAAUACCGCAUACGAUCUAAGGAUGAAAGCGGGGGAUCGCAAGACCUCGCGCAAUUGGAGCGGCCGAUAUCAGAUUAGGUAGUUGGUGGGGUAAAGGCUCACCAAGCCAACGAUCUGUAGCUGGUCUGAGAGGACGACCAGCCACACUGGAACUGAGACACGGUCCAGACUCCUACGGGAGGCAGCAGUGGGGAAUUUUGGACAAUGGACGCAAGUCUGAUCCAGCCACUCCGCGUGCAGGAUGAAGGCCCUCGGGUUGUAAACUGCUUUUGUACGGAACGAAAAGGUCUCUCUUAAUACGGGGGGCUCAUGACGGUACCGUAAGAAUAAGCACCGGCUAACUACGUGCCAGCCGCCGCGGUAA